rnacentral:lncRNA from 1 species
UACUAGCCGUCGCAUGCACCUUCCUUCCUGAAUUCCUCGCAACAUUCCCUCUUUCAACAAGAUUUUCGAAAUCUAUCCCCUCACCCUUGGCCUCCAAAAUAGCAAAACGAGAACCUUCAAAUCGGCCAUGAUCGCCAACAUUCCUACCUUGCGAUGAGUCACUCAUCUUACCCCUCUGUCGACGUUCGACAACCAUCCAUGGGCCAAAUUCCUCCUCCUUGGCCCUAGAUUGGAGAUUUGACUUUUGAACUCUCGAACCACCUUCCACCGUCGUAUCCUCCGCCAUAGGCGCAUUUUUCUCGUAGCACAGCGUCGAGCUGUGGCCAUAGAGCCCACACGAGAAACAAAUAUUGGGUUAUCCUUCGUAUUCAACUCUUUGAAUCCUUCCAUUUAUUCUUAUUUUUGAAACUAAUGGCUUUUGCAGAUCCACACUAACAACCUGUCUCGUAAAUCUCUCUCUGACUGCUGCAUCUGUUCCAGCAUCAAUCUGAAACACUAGUCUGAUCAUACUUUCGAUGGUCCUUAGCAAAAAGUCAGAGUAAAACCCUUCAAACAGUCCUAGUAAUUGGAUCCAAACCAGUUGUUUGUCCACCUCACUGUUACUUGUUGAGAAAUCCGCAGACCAAGCUCUCACCGACAAGUAAUGACCGAAUACCACCCAUGGGCCACCCAACAGUACCUUGUCAAAGUCACCCUUAUCUUGGAAAUGGACAAGGUAAAAAUCGUUCUCCAGAUCCAAUAACUGAAAUUUACCUUUUAUAUUUCAUAGAGCAGAUACCUUAUUGAGCAAGGCUUUGAAACCUAUUUUCCUACCCAACAGCUUGAUCACAACUGUUAGAGCCAUUUUCUUUUCAAUGAAUCUAUGAACCUGAUCCGAAAACGUAAUGGAAGGGAUCCCAUUACCAUCUCUGUCGUCCCAUCCGUAUCUUGUAACUCAAAGUCCUCAUCCAUACAAACAUCCCCAUUUGGAAUCGAUAAAGCACCCAUUAACUUAGCCUUAUACGAGUCCUUUGCUACAUUGUCCUCUUGCACUGUCUGGCCAUUCCCAUCUAUUAUCGGAUCAGCCAUCUCCAUCAUUAUCUCUGGCUGACGCCUGACCCUUUUCGUAGCCCUUCCAACACCACAGUCCGAGGCUAUAGAGUUAGAACCAAUAGCAGAGUUAACCAACGAGAGAGUUUCAGACAUGUUAAAAUCCUCUUCUCUAUUUCUAUUUUUUUUAAUAAUUGGGUAAGGAAAAUGGAUAUUAAGGAUUGAAUCCAAAUAAGAGUCUUAUUUUCUUUUGGGCCAUAAAAGAAAUUCAUUCCAUAAAAAAGAUUUAUUAAGAGUGGAACAUGACUUGUAGCUUUGGUUGGUUUGAUUUAAAAAGAUUUGAUUUGUCAGAAUUCGUUGUGGAAAAUUAAGGUCAUUCUAGUACUUAUCAACAUAUUUUAUAGUAUUUUUAUAUGUUUUGAUUUCAUUUUUAGUUUUUAUUGUUUUAUGUUUAAAUUAUGCAAAAUAAACGUUUUUAUAGAAUUUUGAGUUAUGUAAUAAUCUAAUGGGCCACUAUGGGCUUAGGGAUGAUCUAACGACUCUAUGUAGUGUGUAGGACACUUUUUUUGGGCUUAGAAAACGAAGGACGACUGUGGCAUUGAAACACGUGACACCGAGGAGUGAUGUCGCAACACUGAACUUUGAAGCCAAAGUACCCAGAAAUUAAAGUCAGUGUCACGACACCAGUCUUGUGGUGUCACAACAUCAAGUGAAGAGAUGAAAUUUUAAUUAAGGUAUUUUUUGUCCACACAAAGUAACUUAAACAGCUUUUUUGGGUUGUUUAAUAACCUUAAUUAGGUCUGAUCAUAAACUCUAUAAAUAGAUAUUUUAAGUCUCAUUUGAGGAGGCUUGACCAAUUGAGUCACUUAGUUAUUUUAGGGUUUUACUUUAGUUUUUAUUUUCUUCCAAUUUAGUCCUUUACAUACUUUUUGUUCUUGUUUAACUUGGAUUCAAUUGUGAUCCAAUGGUUUAAUAUAGUAGUUUUUUUGUUAUUUCUUCGUGGAUUCCAAUUGCAAUCGAAGGGAUCUUCGUGACUAUCAAAGGAGAUUCGCUUUCGAGCUCAAAUCGAUAUUGAAACGAACUUAUUUUUCUAUUCCUUACUUUUAUUUAAUUUACUGUUUUUUUAUGUUAAAUAUGAGUUUAAGGAUUAUUGCAUCUAGACCACGAAGAGCUAAUUUCCUUAGGGAGAUUAACGAACGAAUGUGUGACUAAUUAACGGAUGAAUUAAGGUUGAGAUUCGAGUUAGCUGGUUUAAAUUAUGUGCGAC